CGAAACAGGGCAGCGCAAGGCCUGUCAGCUGCAUUUACUGGCGCAGACAGGAUACGAGGUGGAGGUCGGCGAUGUUUCUGCGGAUGCCUCCAGGCCCCUUACUCACGGGCCUACCCGACUUACUCCGGUAAGUGAAGCGCGGCGAUAACCCUUACGGCAACGUAAACAUAAGGCCGCGCAGUGAAAAAA
rnacentral:ncRNA from 2 species